UUCCGGUUGAUCCUGCCGGACCCUACUGCUAUCGGGAUAAGACUAAAACAUGCUAGUUGUGCGCACCCAAGCUAUGUUGGGAGCGCAGCGAACGGCUCCGUAACACGUAGUCAAUCUAACCUUAGGACGGGAAUAACCCCGGGAAACUGGGGCUAAUACCUGAUAGGCGAAAAAGUCUGGAAUGACUUUUCACUGAAAGAGUCUUAGGAACAUGCUCCUUUUACUGCCUAAGGAUGAGACUGCGACCGAUCAGGUUGUUGGUGGGGUAAUGGCCUACCAAGCCUAUAACCGGUACGGGCCCUGAGAGGGGGAGCCCGGAGAUGGGAACUGAGACAAGGUCCCAGACCCUACGGGGUGCAGCAGUUGCGAAAACUCUACAAUGCACGAAAGUGUGAUAGGGUUAUCCCGAGUGCCGUCCGAUGAGGAUGGCUUUUACUUGGUGUAAGGAGCCAAGGGAAUAAAGGGGGGGCAAGACUGGUGUCAGCCGCCGCGGUAAUACCAGCCCCCUGAGUGGUAGGGAUGAUUAUUUGGCCUAAAGCGUCCGUAGCCGGCUUAGCAAGUCUUUCGUUAAAUCCGAUGACUUAAUCAUUGGGCUGCGAGAGAUACUACUAGGCUUGAGGACGGGAGA
rnacentral:rRNA from 1 species